rnacentral:rRNA from 1 species
CAGUCGCCGCGGUAAUACGUAGGGGGCAAGCGUUAUCCGGAAUUACUGGGUGUAAAGGGAGCGUAGACGGUUAAACAAGUCUGAAGUGAAAUGCCGGGGCUCAACCCCGGAGCUGCUUUGGGAACUGUAGAACUGGAGUGUCGAAGGGGUAAGCGGAAUUCCCAGUGUAGCGGUGAAAUGCGUAGAUAUUGGGAGGAACACCGGCGGCGAAGGCGGCUUACUGGACGACAACUGACGUUGAGGCUCGAAGGCGUGGGUAGCAAACUGGAUUAGAUACCCCCGUAGUCCCUGUCUCUUAUAC